CGAGGCGUGGCUCAGCCCGGUAGAGCGUUGCGUUCGGGACGCAAAAGUCGCAGGUUCAAAUCCUGUCGCCUCGACCA
rnacentral:tRNA from 1 species